rnacentral:snoRNA from 1 species
GCAUGGGUUUGGAUUUAUGGCAGGCUCGUCCCCCUGGGCCUCUCAGUGCUCUGAGCCAGAGCAAACUGUGGCCCCGAACCAUUGCCUGGCCUCUGUGCCAUAGGCUGCAGGCACUGAAGCAGGUCGCACAGUA